GCAUUCGUGGUGUAACGGUAGCACACUCGGCUCGUAUACGAGAGGUCCAAGUUCGAGUCCCGGUAAGGGCA
rnacentral:tRNA from 1 species